UUCGACGAAUUGGACCAUGUUGUUCGACCGGGUGGUGCUGGAUUGGAUCAGCAACUGGGAUCGCAAAUAGGAGGGUGAGUUCACCCAACUCAGAUUCCACUUCAGCCAACUCGACCUCACUAAGAAGUACUACAUGAGGCUGUGCCAAGAGAGCGGGAUCCUUUAACUGCAGCAGCAAGCAGCGUGUCAAGAAUACAGUCAUUGUUGAGACGAAAUCCCCCGAAGCAGAUUGUGAUCUCCCCAUUACUGAAAAGGCGGCUACUGUCACCGAGGGUGGGCCACUAUGGAGCAAAGCACUUGAGGUCCCCUCCUGCAAUCAGUGAGGGAUCAGUACCACUCGAUGAUGCAGAAAUAUUGACUAUUGGUGUUCUUCAGCAAUCAGAUGCACCUAGAUCAAUUAGAAAGCGCAAACUUAGAUCUUCUGUUUGGAAAGAGUUUGAGCCAAUUUAUCAAGGAAACUUAAUUGUGCAAGCUAAAUGCAUUCACUGCUUGGAUAUAUUUGCUGCUAAUAGAGAGAAUGGUAGAAGCGCUUGU